CAUUCGGGCCAAAUGCACAGCCAGGCCCAGGAAGCCGCUCUUGACCUUCCAUCACUCACAGUAGCCCCCUGCCAGCCUCGCACCCCUGGCAGCUGUUGUGCGCUCCGACAGUAACGGCCCAGCACGAGCGCAACAGUGCGAUUUCAAAAGAAGAGAAGACGGAGAAGACUACUAGUGAGUGAUUUGCAGACAAUGAAGAGAAAGUCCACAGAUAUCUCUUCUUAUUUUAAGAAGAAAGUGAGCACAGUGGGAGAGAGAGAGCAGCAGAGGCUUAGUGAGGAGGAGAAAGAGCAGGAUGGAGGAGAGGAACAGACAGAGCAGCAUGAGGAUACACAGGCACAGCCAGCAUCAGUCAGAGAGCACAGUGACGAGGAAGAGCCUCAGCAAACAGCAGACCAGGGGCAGGAAGCACCAAAAGCAGGUGUUCAACCUGUUCCUGGACCAACAGAUAUCUCCCAGUCAAGAGCAGAGCAGCCCAAGCAGCCACAACUGAAACCCUUCCCUAGAACCUAUAGGGGACAGGAGACUAUUGAUCCCUGGUGGGAAAUUCUUGUUGAGUGUUUCUGUGCUCACUUGUUGCUUGCUUGCAAUUGUUUUGAUUACAAUAAAUGUACACCUUUAAA